UCAUUCCGCUCAACCCCUUGCAAUCUCCAGCAAACUGAACCGAACAAGCCCUAAAGUUUAAGGGAUAAAAUAAGCUGUCAGCCUGUCCCUUUCUACUUUGCAGCAGCCAGAUCAACAUGGAUGUAACUUGUGCAUUCCUUCCUAUAUGUAUUACUCUUCCAAGUUUAUAAACUAGUAAAGUUGCCUGGCGGGCGACAUGUUUAAACAAUGAAUUAUUAUUCCUCUAUUAUCUCUAGAACUUUGUUGAAGUAUUUGUUGAGAAGCAUUCAAAGAUAUGUUAAAUCUGCUUGUCAGAGAAAAGAAGAUAUGAAAAUAUUUUUUUUGGCUCUUGUUCCUUUUACUAAUUUUACUUGCGUACUAACUCCUCAGAUCAUCAGGGCACUCUCUAGCGUCUCUUUGUUUUCUCUAUGAGAGAUGCAGUUCCAUGCAGCCUGCUAACAGUAGGGAAUCACAACGAAGCGAAUUGGUUGUCAGCAGAUAGGGCACGCCACUGGCGCCACCCCUGGUCCCCGCACCCCCCCGUAACUUGCUCGUCCCGGUGUGUGCUGCCUUUCUAUCUCCCUAGGCACCACCCCUGCUCCCUGCUCUAAGAAGCCGGCGGAGAAGGAGGACAAGAAUCCGGCGUGGGUUAGAUGAGGAGGAUAAGAAUCCGGCGAGAAAGGAGGUGAAAGUACAUGCCUGAUCCUCUCUCCCACCUAUGGUUAGAGAUUGCGCAUUAUUAGAAUGAAUUGAGGAUGAAGUAUUUUCGUUUGAUACUGCCUUCUGAUUCAAUGUGUUGUGUUCAGUUCUUUCCAAGUAGUGUUGAUUCUUCAAUGAAGUCACUGGGGUAUUUUGAUAACUAAAUAAAAACUAGCCACUCUCUUAGAAACAUCAGGAUCAAAUGAAAUGUCCUAGCCUGUUCUGUACUGGACCAGCGACUAAUUUGUAAAGCUUCUACAUAUGCUUGUGUACUAUUACCUCCGUUUGGAAACACAUGACGUGGUUUUAGUUCAAAUUUGAACUAAAACCAUGUCAUGUUUCAUGCGCGAUGACCCUAUUUUCUGCAGAUUCAAACAAGUGGCAGAUUCAAACAUGCGCGAUGGAGAACCAAGCAGAAGCAGAUUCAAACAAGUGAGAAUAACAUUUUCAAUUUUGUGCUGGAUUCCUCUCUUUUCUUGCAAAUGAGUGACCCUAUUUUCUGCACUUGUGCAUUCUACAGAGAAUGUAUUGCCCACUUGGAUACCGCAGCUUGGCAUGAAGUUCAACACCCUAGAUGAGGCUUGGAAAUUUUGGGGAUAUUACGGAGGAAGGAUGGGGUUCAGCAUCAGAAAAAGGUAUAAAAACAGAAGCAAAUUUGAUGGGAAAGUUACCUCCUGCAAAUAUGUUUGUUUCAAAGUGGGUAAAAAGGCAGUAGACAAAAGAUAUAAUGUUGUUAAGAAUCCAACAGCUGAGACUAGAAUUGACUGUAGAGUUCGUAUGACCCUUUCAAUAAAUCGUGAAGCUGGUAACUGGGCAAUAUCUGAUCUUUUUCUUGAACACAAUCACACACUUCAAUUGCCAGAAGCAUGCCACCUAUUGCUAUGAAAGAGAAUUAUCUCUGAAGUGCAGGCUUUUGAAAUUGAAUGUGCUGAUGACUCUGGUAUUGCACUAAAAGCUGCUCAUGAGUUAGCUAGUUGACGGGUUGACGGAUCAUCUAACCUGAGGUACACUCCUCGGGAUCACAAGAAUCAUUUGAGAAUAAAGCGCCAAAGGGACCUUAAGUAUGGUGAAGCGGGUAGCAUGUUGAAGUAUUUUCAAGACAGAGCUGCAUAGAAUCCAGCAUUCAAAUAUGUUUUACAGCUGGACUGUGAUGAAAAAUAACAAACAUUUUUUGGGCUGAUGCUAAGGUGAUAAUUGAUUAAGCUCAUUUUGGCGAUGUCAUGACCUUUGACACCACUUUUGGAGCAAAUAAGGAACAUAGGCCAUUUGGUGUGUUCGUUGGAUUCAAUCAUUUUAGAGAAACUGUUAUCUUCGGUGCUUCUCUCCUCUAUGAUGAGACAUUUGAAUCUUUCAAAUGCUUGUUUGAUUCUUUCUUAUUAGUACAUAGUGAGAAGCAUCCUAGAACCAUAUAUACUGAAUGAAGAUUGUGCAAUGGGAAAGACAGUUGGGUAUGUUUUCUUGAAUCACGACAUGGAUUAUGUACACAUUUAUCUAGUUAUAUGGACAAAGAAUCAACUCUUGUUGCAGAUUUCAGUGCUUGCAUGUAUCAACAUGGGCACCAAGAAGAAUUUGAGGAAGCAUUUGAAAAUCUGAGGGCUCAAGUGCCAGCACAAACUUGGUUCGGUAGUAUUUACAAAGUAAAAGAGAAGUGGGAAAAAUGUUUCAUGAUAAAUGCAUUUACCUUGGGUAUGUAGAGCACGCAGCUAAGUGAGAGUCUCAACAAUGACUUGAAGCAUCAUCUGAAGUCAGAUUUAGACGUUGUCCGGUUCUUUGAGCACUUCGAAAGAGCUGUCAAAGUAAAAAAGAGAUGUUGAGGUCAAUUCAGAGUUUGAUUCCAGGAAGUACUUGCCAAGAAUCAAAAUGAAGACCCCAAUGUUGAUGCAUGUUGGCCCACUUUAUACUCCUACUAUAUUUGAUUUUUUUCAAAAGGAAUACCGGAGAUCUAUAUCAGCAUGCGCCGAAGCACUAGAUGGACAAUACAAAUACAUGGUUAAAAUUGGAUAUCCUUUUGAGCAUCCAAUAUUUGAAGAAUAAUGGGAAGUUACUGGUAACCCUUUGGAACAAACACCAUCAUGCACUUGUGAUCAGUUUGAUAGACUAGGGAUAUUGUGUGCACAUGCUUUAAAAGUUCUUGACAUGAUGAGCAUUAAGUUGCUUCCAUCACACUAUAUUUUGAAGCGAUGGACCCAAGAAGCAUGAGCAGGAUCUGUUAAGGAUAGUCAUGGAAGGAUUGUGAUUGCAGAUCCAAAUAUAGAGGCAGUUCUCCGCCACAAUGGCCUAUCACACAAAUUUAAUAACUUGGCAACUGAAACAUCACAUUCUGAAGAAUGUGUACUUUGAUCGACAAUACACUCGAUAACCUUAGUAAGUGAAACGAUGGUUGUUGAAUGCGGAAGUGCCUCCGCCAGCAUCAGACGAUUUGUUGAAUGCCAAAGUGACUCCUCCAGCAAUAACUGAUUUGUUGGCUGCUGCUGCGCCUAAAAAAGAAGGAAGUUAACAAGGCAGCCAAAAAUUCCAAAAGAAGGAAAAAUUGGACUGAAAGGCAGUACAAAAGAAAGAAAACAGAGUUCAAGACAAAAGAAAAUCAUUCAACGGUGAAAACUCUGAAUGAGGAAGACUUGCGUGGAUAUGAGCACAUUACAAACUCCACUGAAUUACUGAAUAUGCCUAGUGCCAGAGCCUCCACUGGAGGCAUAUAUACUAAGGAUAUAUUCUAAUCAUGAUGCUUUGGAGAACAUCAGAAUCAUUAUUUUGUUGAACUUCUGUAGACUUCCAAUUGUUGAACUUUUUUAGACCUUCAAGUUGUACGGGAAAUAUGAAACCUUUUAUUUUGUUCAACUUAUUUAGUUUCUAGAAGAUCCUUUUUUACUUCCUAGAUAGAUCAGCUUCUCCACGGGCCAAUCAAAAUCAGCGACGAUCUCAAACCAAAUUUGGUGUAUAAAUCUUCUUGAUUGGGGAAAUCACAAGCAGUGAUACAGACAAAAGAUAUAUAGGAUUGUUUUGUUCCUGUGAUACUGAAUAAGUGCCAAUAAGAAGGUUUCAGGAUAGAUUCACCUACGCCAUAUAUAGCUUGAGAAGGCAGUAAAAAUUCAGAAGGACAUCACUGUCCAAUGACGUUGCUGCGCUACCUUCUUCCCCGUGAGUUCGCCGCCUCCUCAGCCGUCCGAGUUCCUCCGUCUCCUGUUGGUUCUCCUCUGCACACGAGACCAUCCAACCAUGCCCUGUCCUCCGUGCGGCCCUAUCUCUCGCUGCACCCAUCAACUCGACCCAGCUCGCCCUUGUCCUUGAUGGUGACCAACGGUGGCCUGAAUAAAGGGAGGGGCAGCGGCGGCAUAGAUCAGCGAGAGGCAGCGGCCGCCUGAAUCGAGGGCGAGGCAACAGCGGCAAGAGUAGUACUGGAAAAAAGAGAGCCAUCGGAUCUGAUUUGUGCGGUAGAUAUGGGCUAUGUUAGCGUCCUAACUUGGCAAGGCAAGUUACAGGAGCCUGCUCAGUACUCUGAAUUUUUGAAGGAACCUGAAGGUUAUGAGCAUUACUCUUAGUUCUUGUAGGGAUAGUGUAUGCACAUCUACUGCUUUGAUACAAAGAUAUUAUCGCUCAGGAUUUAGCAAAAGAAGAUUUGUCUGAAUGUUUGCGUAAGGUUGAGUUUCUGUGUAUGAAAUAUUUAUUCACAGUGAAAUCUGAAUGUGUAUAACAGCGUUUGCCGAAUACUCCUUCGCACCGGGGUUCAUUGAUGUGCAUAUCCCGCCCGUCCUGCCGCAUCAUGAUCGAACCAAACGCAUUUUUGACCGAACACACCCACCUAGUAGCAGGAACUGUACCGAGCUGAUCUGUUCCCCUGUUUCUGACUUAGGAUGUGUUCGCUUCACAGGAUUUUGAAACUUUUCCUGAGGAAUGGAAUGUCCAUUCCAUAGUUUUAAUUCCCUUGGUAGCGUUUGGAUCAAAGAAAACAUCUACCCCUAUGAAAAGGUUCGCUCAUAGUGGUCAUUCCAAAGGAUUGUGUAAAUCUGGUCUAGUCUCUUUUUUGGGCGGAGGCCUGAGGCAGCCACCGUGCAAAGCUGAAUAAAAAAUUACUUUCACAUGGCGGUGAGAGAAGCUAAACCGGCAUGCAAUGAAUACAAUAUUAUAUAUUAUUGCAUUACUAGUACGAACACAAGGUUUCCAAUCAAACGAACACCUCUCCUUUUCCCUUUCGUCUGUUUUGGGUCACGCAAAAUUGCACUGUACAACCAACUCCAUUCAUGUACUUUUUUAUAUUCUUUUGUUUUUCUGACCUGUAUACCGAACGGGGCCUCACGAUUCAUUUAUGAGACACGCUCUGAAGUCUUCUCUGCAGCAAUUAUUAGUUAUCGACCAGCCCAUGCCAACAACACACUAUCCACUAGCACCCGGAGCUUUAGAGCAACUCUAGCAGAUAUGCUAUAUUCUCACCGCCCCUUAUAAUUCCGGCGGUUUUAUCUUUUUGGCCUUUUUCGGCCCCAAACAAGUCCAGUAAAAAUCAUCCGACCGUUAAAAAAUAUACAAGCGGUCUGCAAAUUGCCCUCUCCGCAGCUACAUCUAUGGGUCUGGGCAUUUUAGGGUUCGCUUCUUGCAUACGCUCCGCCCCUCCGCCGUCUCCUUUGUUUUCUCUGGCAAGCGAAUCCGCCCAUUUCUUUCCUUUCCCUACAGAUCCAUGGCUGGAGGUGCUUGCGGGCAUGGGGGCCGCCCGCCGCCGCGCAAGCUCCCCCGACAUGACAUGGAGACCGGCAGCUCCUGCUUCCACGAGCUUGACGAAGCGCUUUUCCCGCACACCAAGAGGUGCUCAGACACGGAUGAGGAGCUGCUCGUCACGCAGCGCGCGGAGGCGGCCGGAGAAGAUGGCACAACAGAAAGGCUCGCCGUCACCAAGGAAGGCCAUGUGCACACCCAUUCUUGCCGGAGGUCGGCGGAGGCGUUCUACGUCGGCGUCGAGGACUGAUGACCCGGCCUUCCUUAGGUUAAAUUUAGUUUGAUCUAUGCUAUUUAUGCUAUGUACUAUGAUUUAUGAUGAACUCCAGUUGUGUUGCUCAAACUUUUUAGCGCGAACUAGAUUUUAAAUAUGCAGUACGUUUUAGCUUAUCUGUUCUGCCGGCUACCCUGAGAUCGUGCAAAAUCGUUUUAGGGAGAGCCGUAUACUAUCUUUGCGGCACACAUUUUUGGACAUCUACUAGAGUUGCUCUUACGCGCGUGGGCACGAAACUAGCUAGUCACACAAAUAAGCCCACUGAACGGGGCGUUUUGAUCAUCACUAGUAAUCAAAACGUUUAUUUACAGAGGGAGUAUAAUUUGUUCCGGCCACAGUACUCCUAUCCUACACCAAACCCCAUUAUCAGUGACGGAGCUAGGGGGACCAGCAGGGCCCUGGCCCCCCCAUGACAUUAUACAAUACGAAUGAUUUUGUACUUAAGGCUAGUUUAGACAAAAUUAGCUUUCUUGGCCCCCCUCUAAGUGAGAAUCACCAUGUUCGGCCCCGGUUAAGCUCCAAUCCUGCCUCCGCCCCUGCCCAUUAUUGAUGAUAAUCUACAUACUGGCGUUACCACGGCUAGGAGAAAACACUCGAACAAGCGGAAGCAGCUCCCCUGACGUACUGCACAUGCCGUUGGGGGCACUGACGUGUGGGCCUGAUUCCCAGCGGGCCCACCUGUCAGUGGCCGAACGGUACCCUGCCGCACGGCAGAGGAUCCUCGUCCCGAACAAGCUGUCACAAUCUCGCGAAAACGGUAGCUGGUGUGAAUACAUUGAAUGCUCAACGCUUCAUUGAAGUUUUGCCCCGCAGUCCCAGCAUGCACGCUGCAUUUUCGGCCGCACUGUUUGUCGACCCAAAACCUUCGAAACACACAAGCCAAUGGAUGGCUAGGAGGAGAGUGGCAUACUCAGCCUAUCAGAGCAUCUACAACCGGACCUCUCAAAGCCGUCUCAUACGCCCGGGCGGGCUGCCCGGUCACUGACCGGUCACGUUUUUUCGACGUAGACGAACGCCUCAAAGGGGCCUCAAACGCCCAGGUUGACCGGCACCCCCCAUAUCUAGCCCAAAUAUGGGGCAGAUAUGGGGGCGCCCGGGCAUGCCCGCCACGUCGGGCCCGACCCAUGCUGGCCCGUCUGACCCCACUUCAUCCCCAUUCUCUCGCCGGAGCAAAUCUUAGCCACUUCACUCCACUCCCCUCCGCCACCCGAGCUCUCCUCCGGCGCUUCGGCCAUGGCAGGCAGCGGAUCAGACUCCGACCAGUCCGGAUCCGUCGGUUGGGGUGUCAUCUCGUGUGGGUUGGAGGAGGCAAUGGCUGUCCGCAUUGCACUCCGCUGCUUCCGGGAGGACAACGCCCGGCAGAUGGACGGAUCCGUCCACCACGACACCAUAGCGUCGGCUCACCGGGCACUCGCGUCCUCUGGUGCUGGAUGCUCGCGGUCCCGGCCGGAACACCUGUCCUUUCCCAUCACCGGUCGGGCAGAGUAUGAGUUCCAUCGAGAACGGGUGGCCCGCCGUGGGAAGGAGAGGAUAAGGGUCGCCGAGGCCCGUAUGGCGGCGGAAAUGACAGCGACGGAGGCGGAUGAUGCGGCGGGGCGGGCGGCCGCAGAGGAGGAAGCCAUCCGGGCCCGCAUUUUGAAGAAACGACAGUGGAGGAACACGCGCGCCCUCGCCCGAGAGCAGAAUCGGGUGGUCCGUGCCAUGGCCGGGCUGCCACCGAAGGAGGAGAAGGAGGACAACUCCAGCGAGGAUAGCUCCGGCGGCGAGUAGAUCCGGCUCGAUCUGUACUGCGUCUUCGACCGGUACAUCCGCUAGAAGGACGGCAAGGGCGCCGGGAAGGGCAAAGGCAGCCGUGGAUGAACUCCACCACAGCCAAACAUGCCAAAUUUUGGUAGUCCGAUGUCAUGUUAAGUGUAGUGCGAUGGAGUAGCCGGACGAUGCGUGUGCGUCGACGUAGUUGCAUGACUUUGUAUGGAUCUGAGAUAUGGUAAUUGAGGUGUCCGGAUGUGGAUUGCAUUUUUUGAGGAGUGCCCGGUCAGUUCCCGCAGACGCGUCCAGGUGCGUCCGCAGGCGUUUGAGGGGCCGGAUUUGCCAAGUCCGGCUGUAGAUGCUCUCAGGGUUUAAAUCAUGGUGCUUGCAUUAUUUUUGAUUUUAUUUCAGGAUUUUUGGUGAUGCACGUUCAGUGAAAGGAGACGUUCCCGUCGACUACAAGGUGUCUGUGGUGACUUUGUUAAUCUUAAGAUGAUAUGCCGGCACAUUAUCUUGGAUGUAUUUAUAGGGAUAGGGUCUGCAUGUGUGUUAUAGGGAAGAGUGCAUGCGCAUAUAUAUGAGCGUCUGUGUAUAUAUUGUGUUCUAAAAAAAAUCCCCAUCCAAACUAUGCCCCGCCGCAGGCCCCAUCAGAUACUCCACCUUGUACAGGUGCUAAGCUUGUAACAUAAGCAAAAAUCGGACGUGGCAACUCAAUUAAGGAGGAGAGAGAGCGAACCGGUAAGGCCUGUUGGGGAACGUUGCAUAGGAAACAAAAUUUUUCCUACGCUCAAGAUCAAUCUAGGAGAUGCACAUCUACGAGUGGAGAGAUUGGAUCUACACACCAUUGUAGAUCGCUAAGCGGAAGCGUGAACAAACGCGAUUGAUGUAGUCGAACAUCUUCGCGAUCCAAUCACAAUCCGUCCAUGAACUCCCAAUCAAGCGCCGAACGGACGACACCUCCGUAUUCAACACAUGUACGACUUGAUGACACCUUCACCUCCUUGAUCUAGUGAGCGAUGGUGAAGUAGUAGCUCGAGUUCUCCGGCAGCACGACCGCGUUGUGGCAGUGGUGGUGGAGCGAUCUCAGCAGGGCUUCGCCAAGCCUAGCAGAGAAGGAAACUAUGAGGGAGAGGAAGGACAACACCAUGGCAAUGAUGGGUUCGGCUGCCCUCCCUCUACACCUCUAUAUAUAGGGGGAAGGGAGGAGGGGGGCUCCCUAGGGUUUCCCCUAGGGGGUGCGGCGACCACCAGAUGGGGGCGCCCCUAGGGAAACCCUAGGGUGGCUUGGCCCCCAAGCCAAAUGGGGCGCCCAGCCCCUUGUGGGCUGGUGUUCCCCUUGCCUUGGCCCAUGAGGCCCCCCAACACUUGCCGGCCCCCCCGAAACUCUUUUCGGUUCUCCGACGAAAUCCGGUACCUCCCGGAACACUUCCGGAAUCUGAAUCCCUUCAUCUUAUAUAUAAAUCUUCACCCCCAGACCAUUCCGGAGUUCCUCGUCAUGUCCGGGAUCUCAUCCGGGACUCCGAACAACCUUCGGUCAUGAACAUAAUAACUCAAUUAUACUUAGAUCGUCACCAAACACUAAGUGUGUAGACCCUGCGGGUUCAAGAACUAUGCAGACAUGACCGAGACACCUCUAUGGUCAAUAACCAAUAACGGGACCUGGACGUCCAUAUUGGUUCCUACAUAUUCUACGAAGAUCUUUAUCGGCCGAACCUCGAUGCCAAGGAUUCAACUAAUCCCGUAUGCAGUUCCCUUCGUCCAUCGGUAUGUUACUUGCCCGAGAUUCGAUCGUCGGUAUCUCCAUACCUAGUUCAAUCUCGUUACCGGCAAGUCUCUAUACUUGUUCCGCAAUACAAGAUCCCGUGACUAACUCCUUAGUCACAUUGGUUGCAAGCUCAUUGUGAUGUUGUAUUACCGAGUGGGCCCCAAGGUACCUCUCCGUCCUAGGGAGUGACAAAUCCCAGUCUUGAUCUAUGCCAACUCAACAGACACCCUCAGAGAUACCUGUAGAGAAUCUUUAUAGUCAUCCAGUUGUGUUGCGACGUUUGAUACGCACAAGGUACUCCUACGGUGUCAGUGAGUUGCAUAAUCUCAUGGUCAUACGAACAGAUACUUGACAUCCAGAAAACGAUAGCAAUGAACUUGAUACAAUCAUAUGCUAUGCUUAUAGUUUGGGUCUUGUCCAUCACAACAUUCUCCUAAUGAGGUGAUCCCGUUAUCAAAUGACAACUCAUGUCUAUGGCCAGGAAACCAUAGCCAUCUUUGAUCAACGAGCAAGUCUGGUAGAGGCUCACUUGGGACAUGUUUUGUCUAUGCAUCCACACAUGUAUUUGAGUUUCCAAUCAAUACAAUUAUAGCAUGGAUAAUAAACGAUUGUCAUGAACAAGGAAAUCGUUCAAACGAUGAAAUUGGGCAAGUUGUUCAAAGGUUGCAGGUUGUUGGUUCUCAGGCUCCACAUUUUCACCUUGAAAAUCAAACCCUUGGUCGUAGAUGCUAUCACCAUGCUCAUCCUCCAUGAUCAUGUUGUGCAUGAUCACACAAGCACUCAUCACCUCCCAAAGCUUAUGAGUGCUCCAUGUCAAUGCAACAUUUUGGACGAUACCCCAUCGAAAUUGAAGCACACCAAAAGCACGCUCCACAUCCUUCCUAGCACUCUCUUCAUUUGGGAAAAUCUCCGUCUCUUCUUUCCUUGCGGAUUGGGUAUUGUCUUCACAAGAGUUGACCAUUGAGGAUAGACACCAUCAGCUAGGUAAUAUCCCUUGUUGUAAUGGUGGCCAUUGAUCUCAAAGUUGACCUCUGGGGAGUGUCCUUCUGCAAGCCUUGCGAACACUGGAGAACCCUGAAUCACGUUGAUAUGAUUGUGAGAACCAGCCAUGCCGAAGAAAGAAUGCCAUAUCCACAGAUCUUGUGAAGCCACCACUUCUAGUAUGACCGUGGCACCUUUCACGUGCCCCUUGUACUGCCCCUGCCAAGAAAAUGGAUAGUUCUUCCACUUCCAGCGCAUACAUUCUAUACUACCAAGCAUGCCUGGAAAGCCCCUCUCGGCAUUGAUCGUCAACAACCUUUCUGUAUCAGCGGUAGUUGGCUCUCUCAGGUACUCAGGGCCGAACACUGCCACCACGGCCUUGCAGAAGCUAUACAUUGGCAGGAGACAUGUGGAUUCACUCAUCCACAAGAUCCCCAGGAAUUCCAUAUGCAAGCAUGCGAACAGCCGCCGUGCAUUUCUGAUAAGAGGAGAAACCAGGCUUUCCAAAGGCAUCCUCUUUGCACUCAAAGCAUGGUCAUAUCCUACCACUCCCUCCCAAAUACGGCCGAACACAUGUCUCCUCAUUCGGAAGCGGCGACAAAAUUGAUAUGGUUUGAAGAGUGUGAUAUUCUCAAAGUAAUCGACAUAGAGUAGGGCGUGGCCGCUCUCCCUAUUGCAUUCAAGGCCGGAGCAUGACCCGGGAUUGAUCCCCUGAACCAAGGUCGUUGCCUACCAAUGUGGUCAUUGACGACCAAUGCAGCAACCACAAGGUCUUCGUCAUCCGAGUAUGAAUCAUCCAAUGAACAAAUGAAGUUGUGAAAGAAAUACUCAUCCCCAUUAUCCAUGGUACCUUGUGAGCAAAGCAUUGAACACCUUGUGGUCGUGGAGGAGACACGAUAGGAAAGAGCACCUCGAGCUCCCCUCCAAGGCAGCAAAGCAAGGUUGGCGUUGGCAGGGCGCGAGUGCCCUGUGGCUAUGCAGCGCCUGCCGAAAGUUGUUGGGGUCGAUGGGCGGUGCCGGUAGCCGUAGCUUCUCUUGCAUUGGCAAAAAGAACCACAAAUGCUUGCAAAAGCUCCUCCGAAACGCUGGCAUGGGCCGGCUAUGGCAUGGCGUGGUCAUGGUUCGGACGACCUUGCAGGAAAGCGACGCGACAGGGAAAAUAGCGUACAGACGGGAUGAUGGCGGCGAUGGCGGGGGACGGAGGGCGGAGGGUGGGUAGGGGAAGAGAAAAGUGGGUUGUGUCCCCGACGGGCGGGUCAGGGGGACAAGAACCCGUGCCCCGCCCGUCCGCGCGUGUCCGUUUUGACGCAAAUGCGACCCAAAGUUAAGCCGAGAAUGGAUCGAAAGUGGACGAAAAACGGACGUUUGUCUGUUUACUCUCAAACGGAUGCGACCAUACCAUUUGAGGUCAUGCUGGAGUUGGCCUAACCCAUAAAGAAAUGACUCCAGGCGCAUGUACCUAGGCAGAACAUAAUUAAUUUGAUCCCAUGCGUCGGGCCGAACCAUCCCGCCUCUUCCUUUUCCCCAUCUUCAUGCCUAGCAAAUGACUCCUUGCCCUCAUCGCCAUGCUCCGCUGCCCGGCGCAACCAUUUCUCGCAGCGUGGCCCUGCCACGCCUCUCAAUUGUCGCCUUCAUGGACCAUCACCGCCAUCCGGCCAGGCACAAACUGCUCAAUGGUAUUUCUUCCUUUCAUAAAAUCAGAAGUACUCUUUUGUUUUGUUGAUCCUACCGGUACCAGCUCCAUUGAACCAUCACCACAGCCACACUUCGCUAGGAGGGCCCUAAGAGCAUCUCCAGCCGUUGGCCUCCUAGGUGGCUCGAAAAAUCGCCGCUUGGGGGCGAACAAGCGCUAAAAUCGGCCUAGGGGUGAUCGGGUUCCCGGCUGACACCCUCGGGGUCGGCCCCAGGCGCCUGUUUUAAACUUUUUUGAACAUUAAUUCGACUAAAAUUCGGCGAACUGAAAUAGUUUUUUACAUAGAUAAAAUACUUAGAAAAAAACACAAGAGGCCGCGACUACAUGCCAAAUAACGCGCUGAGAGACGCGAAGUCGCCGCUGUCGCCGCCGCAGCCAUUGUCCUUGUCGUCCUUCUCCUCCUUCACGCAGCCGCCUCUGCUAGACCCCUGCCCGGGGUCACCCUCGCAGACCAGUGGUGGCGCGUCGUCGUCGCUGUCGUCGUCGAGGACAACAACGCCUCCCUCAUUGCGGCCACGGCGCCGAGUGGUGAACUGCUCUAGGGCGAGGCACUGGCGCUCUAGCUCUGUUUGCGCCCAGUCUUUGUGCGCCCACUUCAAGGCUGCCUCGUCGUCAAGCCCUGGCUCCAUCUUCACGCCUGCGAGCCCUGGCUCCAUCUUCACGGCGGCGAGACCCAACUUUGUCUUCGGCUUGACGACGUGGGGAGGAGCCGAGGAGGAGGCGCGCCCGCCCUCAUUGAUGACGAUGCCGGCGCUGCGGGUGCGCCGACCGAGCGGUUUCGCCGUGGGCUCGGGCUUGACACUGAACAACGCCGAUGACCCGGAGAAGUGGGAGGAGGAGUGGGAGGAGGAAGAAGAGGAUCCGACCGUCCUCAGCAUCCAUUGGCCGCCGCUCCGGCGGGGGACCGGGGCGGCAGGGUACGUCAACGGUGGCUCGUUGCCGCCCUCGAGGUGCUGGAGGACGGCGUGGAGCGUGCGGCCGGGGGCGCCCCACCAUAGGCGGCGGCCGUCGCUGUUGUUGGUACCCCGCACCACCGACGCGUUGUUGGUGGAGGCCAGCCGCUCCGCCUGCCGACGCUGGAAGUACGCCGCCCAUGCCUCGUGGUUGCCGGUGGUGUACUGCGGGAGGGCCCGCUGCUCCUCCGUCAGCGGCGCCCGCACCUGGUCGACGUCGUCGGCGAAGUAGUCGGCGUGUGCGGUGACGUCGGGCAGCGGGGAGAUGGGGACGCCACCGGCGCUGAGCUUCCACCGCCCCGGCGCGCGCAUGUCGGGAGGCGUCGGGACAUUGGCCUCGAACAACAAGUAGGCUACCCACUCGUGCAACGAGCGGCGGCUGAAGCCAUUGGCCGCCACCCCAUCGCCGGGGAACCUCUCGCCCAUCUUCGCGGCUGGGCAUGGGGAGAGAGGGGAGGAACGUCGGCGGCGGCUACGCACGGGGAAAGAGAGGAAGAGCUCGGCGGUUGUGGGUGGGGUGCGGCCACAUGCGAGGGGAUGCGCUGCUUUAUAUAGCGGCCGGGGGUGGGUGCAGUGUGUACGCAUGGCGGCAGGCGGGGGGAGGGGGCGUCGCCACGUCGCCCGUAAGGAAUCAAUGGAAGGCUGACCAGCGGCAGCCUUGGCAUUGGUUCACCAUGGGAAACGGAGGUGGUGUGAGGACGACGAGGCGGGGGUCGCUGACUCGACGGGCCCGUAGUUUGUUCAUGCCAAUAUUGAUUGCCCUGGCGCGAGCCAGCGCACCGGGUUCGGCAUGGGUCCACCGGAGCCCGUUUCGAACCAAACCGGCAAAAACAGGCUCCUGGGGGCGCGUUUGGGCCGAUUUUUGGGCGCCGGCACUAAAAAAUCACCUGGGGGAGGCUGUUGGAGGCGCGACUGGAGAUGCUCUAACUACUUACAGGAGCACGGGCCGGCACCAGGUUACUACGGUGGCAAACUGGCAUUACUGCCCCCACCUGGUGCAUCGUAUGAAGGCCCCCUGAUCCGUAUCAGCCACACCCGCUGCCACAAGUCGACCAAACUUAGCUCAGUUUCACAAUUGUUUUUCUUCUACUAUGUGUUGCUCACUCUCACUCACUUUAAUUCCCUCUCUUAGAGGGCAUCUCCAAUGUUGACCCGUAAAUUUCUUCGGCAUCUGUCCGCGGACACUAAUGUCGGAGGCCGCCAUUCAAUGUUGCCCCAUACAUUUCAUCAACUGUUCAAACUAAUCGGACAAAAUUCAUGCAAACCGAGUAGAUUUCAUUAAAAUUCAGAAGAGAUUCAUGCAAAUAUAGCAGAUUUCACAUAAAUCGGAUGAAAUUCAUUACAUUUCAGACAUACUUCAACUAAAAGCGGAGCUCGUCCAACUCUGGAGGCAUAAUUCCGGACAAACUUCUAUUCUAAACCUAACCUAAAUGAUUGCCGGCGCCCGUUCCCAUGUCCGUCCAUGAGCCCCGAGAAUUGAAGCUCCGACACUUGCCUUUGCCUUCUCCAGUUUCGCCUCUACGCUCUCCAGCUCUGCCUCCGCAGCCUCUACCACCGCAGCUUGAGCGGCUAAUAGGCCGACGAUCAUCAGCCUGCCAAGCAUCGCUUCAGGAGAGGGGAAGAGCGGUGGCCUUCCUGGGACCCGAGCGGCGGCGACCUACCAUGCACUACUCUUUCUCGCUGCCAGCGGCACCCACGGAUGUGCUGAGGGAAUCCUGGAUUAGGGGGUAUCCGGACAGCCGGACUGUGUACAACGUCCGGACUAUUGAAGCGUGAAGAUACAAGACUCAAGACUUCGGUCUGUGUCCGGAUGGGACUCUCCUUUGCGUGGAAGGCAAGCUUGGCGAUCCGGAUAUUGUGUUUCCUUUCUUGUAACCGAGUCCAUGUAAACCCUAGCCCUCUCCGGUGUCUAUAUAAAUCGGAGAGGUUGGUCCUUAGAAGGCUGAUCACAAUUACAAUCAUACCAUCAUAGGCUAGCUCCUAGGGUUUAGCCUCUACGAUCUCGUGGUAGAUCUACUCUUGUACUACCCUUAUAUUCAAUAUUAAUCAAGCAGGAAGUAGGGUUUUACCUCCAUCAAGAGGGCCCGAACCUGGGUAAACAUCUGUGUCCCUUGCUUCCUGUUACCAUCGGCCUUGACGCACAGAUCGGGACCCCCUACCCGAGAUCCGCCGGUUUUGACACCGACAUUGGUGCUUUCAUUGAGAGUUCCUCUGUGACGUCGCCGCAAGGCUCGAUGGCUCCUCCAAUCAUCGUCAGCAACACGGUCCGGGGUGAGACUUUCCUCCCCGGACAGAUCUUCGUGUUCGGUGGCUUCGCACUGCGGGCCAAUUCGCUUGGCCAUCUGGAGCAGAUCGACAGCUACGCCCCUGGCCACCAAAUCAGGUUCGGAAACCUGAACUACACAGCGGAUAUCCGCGGAGACUUGAUCUCCGACGGAUUCGGGCCCGCGCCAGGAGCACCGGACAGUCACGGCAAGCGUGGCCUGGACCUGCUGUCGGACAACGCUCGGGAUAUCACCCCUGCAGUAGCCCUAGACUCAAAUCCGAAGCAGGCUGCGUUGCCUAGGGACGGAGGGAUGGACCCCGCCCCGCAAGCCGUACCCUCAUCGGCGGUGGAGCCGAACACAGGCCUCGCUUCUGAGGAUGCCUGUGACUCCAGAUCCCCGGAUUCAUAUCUGGUUGUAGGAUCCAGUCCGCGCGUUCCCGUGCCCGCGGAACCUGGUUGGGAUCCGGUAAUGGAGUUCACCGCUGCGGACAUCUUUCAGCACUCGCCCUUUUGCGACAUGCUGAACUCAUUAAAGUCUCUCUCUUUGUCACGAGGUUUUCGGCCGAACUAUGUCCGGCUCUAGUGGGAAGCAGGCGACGACGAGAUUCGCUGCCCACCCACCACCCACUUCAUAGCCACGGUUGAUGAUUUAACCGACGCGCUUGGCUUCGACUCUGAAGCCAUCGACGGUAUGGACGACGAUUUGGGAGAAGAUUCAGAACCUAUGGGGCGCCGGACUUCCGCCUCAUCACACGAUAUAUACAUGGUGGAUACACCCAAGGAGGACGACGGUGACAACCCAGAAGAUAAAACCCCCGAGCAAAAGCCAAAGCGACGGCGCAGACGCCGUUCCAAGUCCAGCAACAGUAAAAAUACCAGCAAGAGCGCCAGAAGGAUCGAUACUCCGGUCAACCCCGAAGGCAACAACGACCAUACGGAACCAGCGAUGGAGCAGGACGAACCAGGUCACGCAAACACAGUUCGGAGCAGACGCCCGAAGACAAUGAUCCAGAGGGACGAGUUCAUCAAACCGGCCCAGGACAAGAAGACAGUCCGGAUGAUGACGCAUUCAUCAUUCCGGAAGAAUGCGUGGAAUGAGAUAACCUCCACAGAAAGUUUAUGGCCACAGCGAGAAGUAUGAAGAAGCAGAAGCAACGACUUAAAGCCGCACAGGAAACACUCAAUCGCAGAUGGAACAAAGUGCUUGACACUGAAGAAAGAUAUGGCGACGAUCGCCAUACAAAGAGCUACCCAAAACGCAAGAUACUGCCAGAAUUCGAUGACGAGGCCGUUCCACCAAAGAGUAACAUGACCAGGAGACCAGACGCACCACUCCAUAACCGCAACAAAGUAGCUACAGAUGCCGCACACGACCUACGUGAGCACCUAGAUAGGAAAGCUGGCGUAGCUAGGUCCAUCUACGGAUCUAAAGGACACACCCUGGCGAGGGACUAUGGUCACCACAACGAUUACACCAACCAAAUACUAGUUCGGAAUAAACACCGAACACAACAACAGCUGACGGCAUGCCACAAUACGUCCAGAUACAGAGGGGCUGCUCACCCCCUGUGCUUUACUGAUGAAGUACUGGACCACGAAUUUCCACAGGGCUUUAAACCUGUGAACAUAGAGGCAUACGGCGGAACGACAGACCCAGGGGUAUGGAUAGAGGACUUUAUCCUACAUAUACAUAUGGCUCGCGGGGAUGACCUCCACGCCAUCAAAUAUCUUCCCCUCAAACUAAAGGGACCAGCUAGACGCUGGUUGAAAAGCCUCCCCGAAAAUUCAAUUGGGAGUUGGGAAGAACUCGAAGACGCCUUCAGGGCCAAUUUUCAAGGGACUUUUGUCCGGCCUCUGGAUGCUGACGAUUUAAGUCACAUAGUCCAAAAGCCCCCAACACAUCCAAAAUAAGGGAUGGCAACGGGAAGCCACAACGUAAUAAAAAUAAAUGCGAAAACAAGGAAGAGAGCCCGAAUAACACAACAGUUAAUGCCGGAUUCAGGGGCUCUCGACCUAAUCAGCAAAAUAAGCCAUCUAAAGGCAGUAAAGAGGGACCGUCCGGACUGAAUAGAGUCCUAGACAGAUUGUGCCAAAUCCAUGGCACCCCUGACAAGCCUACAAACCACACGCAUAGAGAGUGCUGGGUCUUCAAGCAAGUCGGCAAAUUGAAUGCCAAACACAAGGGAAGGGAAACACCAAGUGAGGACGAGGAUGAACCUCGCCAGCCGAACACUGCGGGACAGAAAAAAUUCCCGCCAGAGGUUAAAACAGUAAACAUGAUCCACGCAACUCAUACAUCCAUGAGAUGGCACGAACGCGCGCAUAGAGACGCGCAUGAUAUAGAUCCCAUCAUACCCACACCUAACUACUGGAUGUCUUAUCCGAUCACUUUCGGUCACUUGGAUGGCCGGACUAGUAUUCGGCGCGGUGGAUCAGAGGCCUUGGUGCUUGACCCAAUGAUCGACGGAUACCGUCUCACCCGGGUCCUCAUGGACGGCGGCAGUAGUCUCAAUUUAAUAUACGAGGACACUGUCCGCAGGAUGGGGAUAAACCCAUCCAGAAUCAGCCAAAGCAACACCACCUUUGAAGGGGUGAUACCAGGCGUCGAAGCCUACAACAGGGGCUCCGUCAUACUAGAGGUAACAUUCGGCUCUCCAGGCAACUCCAGAAGCGAAGAACUACUCUUCAUCAUCGCACCCUUCCAAAGCGACUAUCACGCAGUGCUCGGAAGAACGACCUUCACCCGCUUCAACGCAUUGCCGCACUAUUGCUACCUUACAGUUAAGAUGCCCGGUCCACGUGGCGUCAUCACCGUCAGCGGAAUAAUAGAGCGCUCGUCAUGCGCAGAGGAACACGCGACGGACCUCGCGGCUGGACUAUAAGCGACCUCCAACAUAAAAAAAA
rnacentral:lncRNA from 1 species